rnacentral:misc_RNA from 1 species
AACGCACCUUGCGCUCCCGGCAGAUCUAAUCUGGGGAGCAUGCCUGUUUGAGGGCCGCGAAUUGUUUCGAACGACAGCUUUUUUUCUUUGUGAAAAAGUUGGCGGAUCGGUAUUGAGGGUUUGCCAUUUACCAUGGCUCCCUCGAAAUGCAUUAGCGCAUCCAUUUGAUAGGCAAGACGGACGAAAGCUCGAUUUUCGCCCUCUCUUCCCUGCCGGGUUUUGAUAAUAUCAGGACUUCGGAGGCGGAGAAAGGGUUAGAGCUGGACGCAACGUUUUGCUGUUUGGAGUGCUUCUGAAACCCGCCCAUGCCUCUUUCUUCGGAAAAAGGAAGGGAUUUUUUUUUUCAAUUCAUCGGCCUCAGAUUGGUAGGACUACCCGCUGAACUUAA